rnacentral:rRNA from 1 species
UACGGGGGGGGUAAGCGUUGUUCGGAAUUACUGGGCGUAAAGGGCUCGUAGGCGGCCAACUAAGUCAUACGUGAAAUCCCUCAGCUUAACUGGGGAACUGCGUGUGAUACUGGAUGGCUUGGAUUGGGAGAGGGAUGCGGAAUUCCAGGUGUAGCGGUGAAAUGCGUAGAUAUCUGGAGGAACACCGGUGGCGAAGGCGGCAUCCUGGACCAAUAUUGACGCUGAGGAGCGAAAGCCAGGGAGCAAACGGGG